rnacentral:rRNA from 1 species
GAGGAUGAUCAGCCACAAUGGGACUGAGACACGGCCCAUACUCCUACGGGAGGCAGCAGUGGGGAAUUUUACGCAAUGGGGGAAACCCUGACGUAGCGACACCGCGUGAGCGAAGAAGCCCCUUGGGGUGUAAAGCUCUGUCAGCUGGAACGAAAAAAAUGACGGUACCAGCAGAGGAAGCAUCGGCUAACUACGUGCCAGCAGCCGCGGUAAGACGUAGGAUGCGAGCGUUGUCCGGAUUUAUUGGGCGUAAAGAGUUCGUAGGUGGUUUGUCAAGUCUGAUGUUAAAGAUCGGGGCUCAACCCUGGGACUGCAUUGGAUACUGGCAGACUUGAGUGUGGUAGAGGCUAGUGGAAUUCCCAGUGUAGCGGUGAAAUGCGUAGAUAUUGGGAAGAACACCGGUGGCGUAGGCGACUAGCUGGGCCAUAACUGACACUGAGGAACGAAAGCCAGGGUAGCGAAUGGGAUUAGAUACCCCAGUAGUCCUGGCCGUAAACGAUGGAUACUAGGCGUAUC